AAUAAAAAAGUUUUUGUCUUGAUGCUUCUUUCUAAAACGACGAUUUCAAUGGCGAUUCGAUGCUGUUGAAAUUAAAAAUCCAUGGUGGUAAAGACCAAAACAAUUGCUUGAAGAGGUGACUACUGAGGGUUGCAAAUCAAAGAAAAUUGAUUAAUCUGAUUUGGAAACAAAGUCAAACCGACGCUUCAAAACUUGGUAGAUCCACCGGAGAUCUCACCUAUUCCGAUAUCUUUAGAUCAUAUUCUCUAACUUUUUCGUUUAGAUUUUAUAGAUUCUUUACACAACUCUAACAUCGAUCAAGAUCUAAUAAAAAAAAUCUUAACUGUUUUGCAUGUCAAAUCUGAAGGCAUCAAUGAGAAGAAAGAUGAGUUUGAGAUGGUUGUCGAUUUUGUCUUUUCAGAUCUCUUUCUCAUUAGAAGCUUUCGAUGUUUGGAUUUUCAUGUUAGAAGCCAUAGGUUUCUUUGAGGCAGUGUUUUUGGCGGUAGUGGUUCCAACAAGAAGAGGGGCUUCGCUAUUUAUAAUAUGUAUAAGGUUAAAGGGAGAGAUGCAUAGGUUAUUGGGUAAACUUGGGGCGUACUCCAAAUCGUAUCAUACUAUAUUUUCUAAACUAUAAAAUCGAUACCGUCCCCUGUAUAUUAAUCCUGUAGUAUUGCAACAUGUUCAGAAUAUUCAUCAAUCUAAAGAGAGUAAACAAUGUGAUUUUGUAUUUUGAGAUUUUAGAAGCUUGGUUUACGAGUUAAUUAAAGACUCUGGGUAUUGAGACUUUAGUGCUUAAAUCAUUCACAAGAAUUUAUUAAAUAAUUUAUAAGGGCUUGCAAAUUUCAAUUGUUAUUUAGGGUCUGUAGAGUCGAAGCUUAGUUUAAGUACUAGUCAAGAGAGAGGAAAUAGUGAUAGUGGUUGCUAGAGAAUUGUAUUGUCAACAAACAAAGAUCAACGUCAAGAACAUUGUUUCAUAUUAUCAUUAUUUUCAAAAGGUGGACAGAACAUAAGAUGGUUCAUGAUUUAGAGAAGUGUGCAUAACUAUUGUGUUGUAUGACAUUGCUGAAAAAACAUGAAUACACAGGAAAUGAUUUACAACUCUUGUUCAUAGCAUUAAAUUGAGAAAUAACAAGAUUUUGAGGGGUGUGGAGGGGUAGUGAAGACCAAAAGGAGGAAUUUUGGACCUUAGGUAACUAUAUAUAAUGAUAUCACUGGAAUUUGUGCUGAUAGAUUGGAUCAAAGAGCUAAAAGCCAAGCAUGUCCCUGGAGCUUUUCUAAAAGAGCUAAAUGCUGAACAUGUCCCUUGAGCUAUCCUAGAACAGUUUAACAUUGAGAGCAUUCUGGAGCAGUAGUCAUCAAGAGUUAGCUUCCCUUAUGCAGCUUCACCUGUUUUAUCCAUUCCCCCAUCCUUAAUUUGUUCCUCCUUCAAGUGUUUAAUAUUCAGCAAAUUCAAAAUGAUCAUCACAUAUGCCAAGAAAUACACCAUUUGGUAAGCACUUUCUACUAGUGCAAGCCAAUCUGAGCACCAACCAGCGUGAAGUACCAUUUACAAGUGCAUUUAUAGACUUCUCAAGAGCUUCUAAAAGAACAUAUAAACUGCAAUCACAAAACAAAUUCUAGUUCUUGA